rnacentral:rRNA from 1 species
CCUUUGCCGGCGAGUGGCGCACGGGUGCGUAACGCGUAUACAACCUACCUUAUACAGGGGUAUAGCCCAGGGAAACUUGGAUUAACACCCCAUAGUAAUAUGUUUUGGCAUCAUUACAUAUUUAAAACUACGGUGGUAUAAGAUGGGUAUGCGUCCCAUUAGCUUGUUGGUGUGGUAACGGCACACCAAGGCAACGAUGGGUAGGGGCCCUGAGAGGGGGAUCCCCCACACUGGUACUGAGACACGGACCAGACUCCUACGGGAGGCAGCAGUGAGGAAUAUUGGACAAUGGGCGGGAGCCUGAUCCAGCCAUGCCGCGUGCAGGAAGACUGCCCUAUGGGUUGUAAACUGCUUUUAUACGGGAAGAAACCCACCUACGUGUAGGUGGCUGACGGUACCGUAAGAAUAAGGACCGGCUAACUCCGUGCCAGCAGCCGCGGUAAUACGGAGGGUCCGAGCGUUAUCCGGAAUCAUUGGGUUUAAAGGGUCCGCAGGCGGCCAGAUAAGUCAGUGGUGAAAUUCCGUGGCUCAACCACGGAACUGCCAUUGAUACUGUUUGGCUUGAAUCAGUUCGAGGAUGCCGGAAUGUGUGGUGUAGCGGUGAAAUGCAUAGAUAUCACACAGAACACCAAUUGCGAAGGCAGGUGUCCAGAACUGUAU